GUCCCAUGACAUUUAGUGCUGAUGUGUCUGUUUUUUUUAUCAAUUAACGUGUGCCACGUGUGUAAUUCCAUUUUUAAAAAAAUAAAAAAAUGGUAUUUUUCAGAUUUUCAGCACUAAAUUCUAUUGUUGGUCACGUGCCUCCUUCUCUCAAAAUCUGAAAAAUACCAUUUUUUUUAUAUUUUUAAAAAUGGAAUUACACACGUGGCACACAUUAAUUGAUAAAAAAACAGACAUAUCAGCACUAAAUGUCAUGGGGA
rnacentral:pre_miRNA from 1 species